GUGGUCUCACCACCACCCCACCCUCAUGGAUCCUUCCUAUGCCGGGUUACUGCUGCCUUGUGAUCCUCAAAGGAACUAGAGGCGUUUCAACUCACCCCCAUGAUUUGUCAUGUCAUUCCCAGGCUAAUUUUGGCAUGUCCGAGUAAGAUCCUGCCAUCGUCGGCUAUGGUUUCUAGGCCGAUUCUCUUUCUCUUUGGGUUAUCUCUC
rnacentral:lncRNA from 1 species